AUGCUGUGGAUAACAAGGAGAUUAUCAAGGCGGAGCGGCGGUGAGUAUGGAGCUCAUAAUCAUCAGUUCAUCACCAUGAAGCAGAAGAAAUGGUAUAGCUUUGCCAUGCUAGACUUUGGCAGCCACUGCUCCUCGGCAACAGGAGGUACAACCGCUGCCACCACUCCUUCGCAGCGACGCAGGUCAGCGACGAGGAGGCUCGCAAUGGUGGGGGACGCAUCACCAUCUGCCAGAGAGGAGAAAGGCAUACCUACCCCUUUAACGAUUGAAAUGCAGGUCCAGGGAAAACAUCUGCACCACUGUUGGGCCAAUUGA
rnacentral:rRNA from 1 species